GACGAACGCUGGCGGCGUGCUUAACACAUGCAAGUCGAACGGAAAGGCCCUGCUUUUGUGGGGUGCUCGAGUGGCGAACGGGUGAGUAACACGUGAGUAACCUGCCCUUGACUUUGGGAUAACUUCAGGAAACUGGGGCUAAUACCGGAUAGGAGCUCCUGCUGCAUGGUGGGGGUUGGACAGUUUCGGCGGUUGGGGAUGGACUCGCGGCUUAUCAGCUUGUUGGUGGGGUAGUGGCUUACCAAGGCUUUGACGGGUAGCCGGCCUGAGAGGGUGACCGGCAACAUUGGGACUGAGAUACGGCCCAGAAUCCUACGGGAGGCAGCAGUGGGGAAUAUUGCAAAAUGGGCGGAAGCCUGAUGCAGCAACGCCGCGUGCGGGAUGACGGCCUUCGGGUUGUAAACCGCUUUCGCCUGUGACGAAGCGUGAGUGACGGUAAUGGGUAAAGAAGCACCGGCUAACUACGUG
rnacentral:rRNA from 1 species